UGGCUGGGCACGUAAAUUCAUAAUCAUUUAAACUAAUAGUAAGAUAAUGAAUUUGUAAGAUUAGAAAGGUCAAAUUUGAGUCUAAAUUAUAAGGUGGAAUGUGUGUGUGUGUGUAUAAGAGUUGAAACUGGUUGUGACCUUUUAGUAUUAAAAUGUAUUAAUACUGUUGAAUUAUGAGAAAAGUAGAAUGGCACCACCUGGUAAAACAAAUGUAAAGAAUUUUUACGUUUGUGAUUAACCUAUUUUAUUUAAAU
rnacentral:lncRNA from 1 species